AAGGAUUUAAGUUAAGCUAAACUUUCAGCCUUCAAAGCUGAUAAUAGAGAAAUUUCUCUAAGCCUUA
rnacentral:tRNA from 1 species